AUCAAAAACACAAGUGAUUACAAGUGUUGGUAGGAUGUCGGGAGAAGAGGACCCUCGUGCAUUAUCUACAAAUAUUGAAUCAUAAAAAAAAGCAGCUCUUACUUAUUUUAUCACCAUUAGCAUCGUGAAGACAGUUGUUCAAUUCUGGUAAAUUCAGAGGAAUUUCCACUACCAUGAAAGAAAGAUGAUGUUAGCUAAUCAUAAUUGUCUCAUGGUGUUUGGUGCUACCCCAGACCAUCUUCAGAGAACUUCACAGAAUAUGAUCACUGGAAAAUUAAAGAGAGACAAAAUCACAGAUUCUUUCACUUCCAUGAGUAUGAUUGCAUUUGGGAAGCUUCUACGUAAAUGUGUCUUAAGGUUCGGACAUGGAUUUUUUUCUACAAUUAAAGACUAUGCCUACGUUAUGUAAAGUGGAAGACAGCAACAUCAGUAUUGCAGAAUUCUAGGGGCACAGUGGGAUACAAUAAACAACGUCUGAACCACAUUUACUCUGUGAACAGAAAGGAUAAAAAUACUG